AAUAGAUACCCGGGUAGUCCACGCCGUAAACGAUGGAUGCUAGCUAUUGGGAGGUAUCGACCCCUUCCGAAGCGAAGCUAACGCGUUAAGCAUCCCGCCUGAGUAGUACGAGCGCAAGCUUAAAACUCAAAGGAAUUGACGGGGACCCGCACAAGCGGUGGAGCGUGUGGUUUAAUUCGAUGAUAAACGAUGAACCUUACCAGGACUUGACAUCCCACUAAUUUCUUCGAAAGGAGAAAGUGUCUUCGGACCGUGGUGACAGGUGUUGCAUGGCCGUCGUCAGCUCGUGUCGUGAGAUGUUGGGUUAAGUCCCGCAACGAGCGCAACCCUUAUGUUUAGUUGGAUUUUUCUAAACAGACUGCCCUGGUAACAGGGAGGAAGGAGGGGAUGAUGUCAGGUCAGUAUUACCCGUUACGUCCUGGGGCGACACACGCGCUACAAUGGCCGGUACAAUGGGCAGCCAAGCAGCAAUGCGGAGCAAAUCCCAUCAAAGCCGGUCUCAGUUCGGAUUGGAGGCUGAAACUCGCCUCCAUGAAGCCGGAAUCG
rnacentral:rRNA from 1 species